CGCCCACCUGGCUUCAGCUGCCUCCCAACCCCAGUGACAGGGACAGCAUCGCCAAUACUAGGCACAAACCAGCCUCCGAUUUACCUGCUUUCCUGCUCUGGGGACUGGGGACCAGGUCCCCUAAUGCUGUUGUGCCCUAGUUUUCCACAGAGCUGAUGCCCUGUCCCUUGAGAAAGCAGAGGCUGUAACCGUGGCCAAGAUCGUUCAGGGGAGACUCCUUUGGGAACCAGUAGCUGACGCGCAGCAAGUGACGCCCUCUGGCCGGAGGGAAGAAGAAGCUCAGGGGCCAGUCGGGAGCUGGGGACAGACGCCUGCCUCCUUGGGCCUUGCAUCCGUGACCCUGGAGUUAGGUUCCCAGGCCCCCAGGAGGGAAGCAGCUUGGGUCUAAGCCGGCAAAGGAAAAAGGGAGCACGUGGGCAGGUACAGGUGGGAGAGAAGUGUGGGGAGCAGCACAGAAUGUCACAGCUCCACGAGACGGAAAAUGAUGGCACCCGGGCACACUGAGACAUCGGUACAUUCACGCUCACCCUCCUUCACAUCUAGUGAACAGAUAUUUCACAGCGAAGACGUUAAUCUCCUUCUGGUCAAUAGUUCUCAGCCAAAUGAUCAAAAUAAAAUACAUCACUCAUCGCAAGAAA